rnacentral:rRNA from 1 species
GAUGAACGCUGGCGGCGUGCCUAAUACAUGCAAGUCGAGCGAACAGACGAGGAGCUUGCUCCUCUGACGUUAGCGGCGGACGGGUGAGUAACACGUGGAUAACCUACCUAUAAGACUGGGAUAACUUCGGGAAACCGGAGCUAAUACCGGAUAAUAUAUUGAACCGCAUGGUUCAAUAGUGAAAGACGGUUUUGCUGUCACUUAUAGAUGGAUGCGCGCCGCAUUAGCUAGUUGGUAAGGUAACGGCUUACCAAGGCAACGAUGCGUAGCCGACCUGAGAGGGUGAUCGGCCACACUGGAACUGAGACACGGUCCAGACUCCUACGGGAGGCAGCAGUAGGGAAUCUUCCGCAAUGGGCGAAAGCCUGACGGAGCAACGCCGCGUGAGUGAUGAAGGUCUUCGGAUCGUAAAACUCUGUUAUUAGGGAAGAACAAAUGUGUAAGUAACUAUGCACGUCUUGACGGUACCUAAUCAGAAAGCCACGGCUAACUACGUG